rnacentral:rRNA from 1 species
UACGGAGGGUGCAAGCGUUAUCCGGAUUCACUGGGUUUAAAGGGUGCGUAGGCGGGCAGGUAAGUCAGCGGUGAAAUCCUAGAGCUUAACUCUAGAACUGCCAUUGAUACUAUCUGUCUUGAAUAUUGUGGAGGUGAGCGGAAUAUGUCAUGUAGCGGUGAAAUGCUUAGAUAUGACAUAGAACACCAAUUGCGAAGGCAGCUCGCUACACAUAUAUUGACUCUGAGGCACGAAAGCGUGGGGAUCAAACAGG